rnacentral:lncRNA from 1 species
CCCCUUUCUUCUCUCAGUUCUCUGUAGGACAGGGACUACCCCGAAGAAAUCGAUUUUUAAGAUGCUCUUGAUGAAAUAUGUGCAAUGCAGGAAGAAAGGGAAAAAGGAGAGAGGGAGAGAGAGAAGGUUAUUAGCAAUUAUAUGAGCUUGUUUACUAAUAUAGGAAUACCCACGCAUGUGUGAAAGAUUGCCCGUAAAAACCCUAGGCAGUUUGUGGAAGUAGCAAUCUAGGACUUCAUAUUUAUCUCAAGAAAGGACAGUGAAUAAGAAAAGCAUCCAGAGA